GCUGGGCUCAGUGGUGCACCUGUAGUCCCAGUUGCUCGGGAGGCUGAGGCAGGAGGAUCACUCCAGCCUAUGAGUUGGAGACCAGCCUGCGCAACGUAGGGAGACCCUGCCUCUU
rnacentral:sRNA from 1 species